rnacentral:rRNA from 1 species
GACGAACGCUGGCGGCGUGCUUAACACAUGCAAGUCGAACGGAGAGGCCCUGCUUUUGUGGGGUGCUCGAGUGGCGAACGGGUGAGUAACACGUGAGUAACCUGCCCUUGACUUUGGGAUAACUUCAGGAAACUGGGGCUAAUACCGGAUAGGAGCUCCUGCUGCAUGGUGGGGGUUGGAAAGUUUCGGCGGUUGGGGAUGGACUCGCGGCUUAUCAGCUUGUUGGUGGGGUAGUGGCUUACCAAGGCUUUGACGGGUAGCCGGCCUGAGAGGGUGACCGGCCACAUUGGUACUGAGAUACGGCCCAGACUCCUACGGGAGGCAGCAGUGGGGAAUAUUGCACAAUGGGCGGAAGCCUGAUGCAGCAACGCCGCGUGCGGGAUGACGGCCUUCGGGUUGUAAACCGCUUUCGCCUGUGACGAAGCGUGAGUGACGGUAAUGGGUAAAGAAGCACCGGCUAACUACGUG